rnacentral:rRNA from 1 species
CACGUAGGCGGUUUGUUAAGUCAGAGGUGAAAUCCCGGAGCUCAACUCCGGAACUGCCUUUGAUACUGGAAGUCUGGAGUCCGAGAGAGGUGAGUGGAACUCCGAGUGUAGAGGUGAAAUUCGUAGAUAUUCGGAAGAACACCAGUGGCGAAGGCGGCUCACUGGCUCGGUACUGACGCUGAGGUGCGAAAGCGUGGGGAGCAAACA